GGAUGAACGCUGGCUGUGYGCCUAAUACAUGCAUGUCGAGCGAGGUUCUUUUGAACCUAGCGGCGAAUGGGUGAGUAACACGUGCUUAAUCUACCCUUUAGAUUGGAAUACCCAAUGGAAACAUUGGCUAAUGCCGGAUACGCAUGGAAUCGCAUGAUUCCGUUGUGAAAGGAGCCUUUAAAGCUCCGCUAGAGGAUGAGGGUGCGGAACAUUAGUUAGUUGGUAGGGUAAUGGCCUACCAAGACUAUGAUGUUUAGCCGGGUCGAGAGACUGAACGGCCACAUUGGGACUGAGAUACGGCCCAAACUCCUACGGGAGGCAGCAGUAGGGAAUAUUCCACAAUGAGCGAAAGCUUGAUGGAGCGACACAGCGUGCACGAUGAAGGUCUUCGGAUUGUAAAGUGCUGUUAUAGGGAAAGAACACCUGGUUGAGGAAAUGCUUCCAGGCUGACGGUACCCUGUCAGAAAGCGAUGGCUAACUAUGUGCCAGCAGCCGCGGUAAUACAUAGGUCGCAAGCGUUAUCCGGAAUUAUUGGGCGUAAAGCGUUCGUAGGCUGUUUAUUAAGUCUGGAGUCAAAUCCCAGGGCUCAACCCUGGCUCGCUUUGGAUACUGGUAAACUAGAGUUAGAUAGAGGUAAGCGGAAUUCCAUGUGAAGCGGUGAAAUGCGUAGAUAUAUGGAAGAACACCAAAGGCGAAGGCAGCUUACUGGGUCUAUACUGACGCUGAGGGACGAAAGCGUGGGGAGCAAACAGGAUUAGAUACCCUGGUAGUCCACGCCGUAAACGAUGAUCAUUAGUCGGUGGAGAGUUCACUGACGCAGCUAACGCAUUAAAUGAUCCGCCUGAGUAGUAUGCUCGCAAGAGUGAAACUUAAAGGAAUUGACGGGGACCCGCACAAGCGGUGGAGCAUGUGGUUUAAUUUGAAGAUACGCGGAGAACCUUACCCACUCUUGACAUCCUUCGCAAUGCUAUAGAGAUAUAGCGGAGGUUAACGGAGUGACAGAUGGUGCAUGGUUGUCGUCAGCUCGUGUCGUGAGAUGUUUGGUCAAGUCCUGCAACGAGCGCAACCCCUAUCUUUAGUUACUAACGAGUCAUGUCGAGGACUCUAGAGAUACUGCCUGGGUAACUGGGAGGAAGGUGGGGAUGACGUCAAAUCAUCAUGCCUCUUACGAGUGGGGCAACACACGUGCUACAAUGGUCGGUACAAAGAGAAGCAAUAUGGCGACAUGGAGCAAAUCUCAAAAAGCCGAUCUCAGUUCGGAUUGGAGUCUGCAAUUCGACUCYAUGAAGUCGGAAUCGCUAGUAAUCGCAGAUCAGCUACGCUGCGGUGAAUACGUUCUCGGGUCUUGUACACACCGCCCGUCACACCAUGGGAGCUGGUAAUACCCAAAGUCGGUUAGCUAACCUCGGAGGCGACCGCCUAAGGUAGGACUGGUGACUGGGGUGAAGUCGUAACAAGGUAUCCCUACGAGAACGUGGGGAUGGAUCACCUCCUUUCAUACGGAGUACAUAAAUGUUAUGGAAAAAUUAUUUGUAUCCAGUUUUGAGAGACCUAUCUCUCAAUUUGUUCUUUGAAAACUGAAUAUCGACAUUGAAAAAUUAAAUUUAUUAAUAUUUCAAAGUUUAGAUCAACCUAUAGAAUAUAUCAUACAAUAGACAAACAAUAGGUCUUAUACUACUAUUAAACAAGAUAAGAGUUUUUGGUGGAUGCCUUGGGUCUGGAAGUCGAUGAAGGACGUGAUUACCUGCGAUAAGCCUCGGUUAGCUGGAAAUGAGCUGUGAUCCGGGGAUUUCCGAAUGGGGAAACCUAAUUGAGCUAAUCCUCAAUUAUCAUAUCGAUGAAUACAUAGUCGAAUGAAGAGACACGCUGUGAAUUGAAACAUCUCAGUAGCAGCAGGAAGAGAAAAUAAAGAAUGAUUCCCUCAGUAGUGGCGAGCGAACGGGGAAGAGCCCAAACCAACAUUCGUUGUUGGGGUUAUAGGACUACAUUUUAGAGUUACAAAAUUUACAUAUAGCAGAAUAAGUUGGAAUGCUUAAACAUAGAGGGUGAAAUUCCCGUAAGCGAAAUGUGUAGAUCUCUUUGUAGUAUCCUGAGUAGGGCGGGGCACGUGAAACCCUGUCUGAAUUUGCCGGGACCACCCGGUAAGGCUAAAUACUAACCAGACACCGAUAGUGAACUAGUACCGUGAGG
rnacentral:rRNA from 2 species